rnacentral:antisense_RNA from 1 species
UUUUGCAUUCGGUUUGUUGUCGAUAAUGGCAUUACCGACGGCAUGCAAUAAGUGAGUCUUACCUAAACCGGUGCCACCAUA